rnacentral:lncRNA from 1 species
CUCCACCAUCUCUCGCCACGGCUCUGCCCAGCAGCUCCACCCUUCUCCCACAUCCGCCGCUCUCUCCAUCCCCUCAUUCUCCGGCCUUAAAGCCGCCUCCUCCUCCGCCGCUGCUUCCGUCUCCCGCCGCCGCGCACCCGCCACCCGUCUGCCCGUCCGCGCAUCAGCCGCCGUCGAGACCCUCGAGAAGACCACCGAUGCCCUCGUUGAGAAGUCCGUCAACACAAUCCGGUUCCUCGCGAU